rnacentral:rRNA from 1 species
ACACGACUACAUUAGAUACCCCCUGUAGUCCUAGGCGUAAAUGAUGCGAGUUAAGUGUGGGGGCAUCUACGAGAUGGCCCUGUGCUGUAGGGUAGCCGUUAAACUCGCUGCCUGGGGAGUACGGUCGCAAGGCUGAAACUUAAAGGAAUUGGCGGGGGAGCACCACAACGGGUGGAGCUUGCGGUUUAAUUGGAUUCAACGCCGGAAAUCUUACCGGGACCGACAGCAACAUGAAGGCCAGGCUGAAGACUUUGCCGGAUUAGCUG